UCCGUAGGUGAACCUGCGGAAGGAUCAUUACCGAAAUUGAUUAUUCUUUUUUCUGUGAAUUUAUUAAGACUUGCUUCGGUGGCGCACCGGUUUGAGCUGCACUCGUGCGGCUUUUACCAUUGCCACCGAAAGGUUUAACUCAACUAAUUUUUUUAUUGUCUAAAAUUAUUAAACAAAUAAUUAAAACUUUCAGCAACGGAUCUCUUGGUUCUCGCAUCGAUGAAGAACGCAGCGAAAUGCGAUACGUAAUGUGAAUUGCAGAAUUUUGUGAAUCAUCGAAUCUUUGAACGCACAUUGCGCCUUGUGGUAUUCCACAGGGCAUGCCUGUUUGAGCGUCAUUUCUCUCUCACUAACGUGGUUUUGUUGUAUCUCUCAUUGUAGAGUACAAUGAAAGGAAAUGGCAGUGCUUCGGGUUCUGCUAAACGUGUUUUAGGUUGUACCAACUACACUAGUAAGCGGCCCAAUGAAGACGGCUUGAUAACCUUUUUUCAAGUUUGACCUCAAAUCAGGUAAGAAUACCCGCUGAACUUAA
rnacentral:rRNA from 1 species